GAAAGACUGAAAGUUACACAAGAAGAAAUCGUUUUACGUAAUUAUGUGUUUUUAUUUUAAAAUCGGAUCGGCGGACUUGGCGGUGUGUCUCAGAACUUGUUGUUUUCAUUUUGUUAGAAAGCUGCUCUUUUCAUGCUGAUCAAGAUCUGGGUCGUAGCGGUCACUUCAAGGCGCAUGCAAGUAAUGUUGCGGUUGCCAUACUGUGCAGUGGAAGAUUACAGAAAAAGGCUUCUGGACUUUUUCUCCCCGCAUUUGGUUCGCGUUGGUCCUGUCUACAGAGAGAAAGUGUGAGUGGACUGACGAGGCUGGUGAGAGAGCCAAGCGAUCUGCGUUUCUUUUUAAUGUCACUCUUUCUAACCUGCCGAAACGCACACGUACACAACACACACACUCUCACUCUUGCAACACACAUGCGUCUGCACUCUAUCCUGCUUGUAUCACUCGGGAACAUGCAUGCAGUUAUACUGCUGGUGCACAGACACACACACGUAUACUUUUUGGCAUGAGAGAAUGUGAUUAGUCUCUAGGCUUGGUUUUGUUUUUUUUUUUUCUUUCUUUCUGGCUUCAGUUCGUGCUUGGCUCCUAAAAACUGUGCAUUGAGAGAGCUUUGGCUUUGAUGUGCAAGAUGUCUUGGGCAGAACAGAAGAUGCGAAGGGAGAAAGAAAGGCAAAUAGCUCAUUAGGAAGUUUGCUAUUUUAUUCAGGAAAAUAUGAAACCGUGUCAAAGUGCUGCGAGGAAACCUCAUGCCACACACGUAUCCUCUUGUAAGGUGAAAUCUAAUAAGUCGAUCAUUAACCCUUGUGAAAUGAUAUUGCCAAGCAACUCUUUGGCAAAUCACUAUUCAAAAUUAGCUCAAUAAUAGGUUCAAGGCUGCUGCGUUAGCUAAUCGCCUUCCUGAUCAAGAGCAGCUGCUCUGAUCAAUCUAACAGUCUGUCCAUGUGAAAACCGCUACCUCCACCUGAGGUGAAUUCCAACAGUCCGUGCCGAGCUGAUUUGACCCAAGGAGCCGGGCUGAUGUGUCGGGGUGAGGGAGGGGUGCACUGGUUCAACUGUUGGUGAAAAUGACCCAGCCACUAACCCACCGGUUGGGUCACAUAAAACCUACCCAAGACUGAGAAAAUAACCCAAAUAAAUGACCCCAAAAAAUUUUAGGGUGCAAGUUGUAGCUGUUGUAACGAGUAAGAAAGUAAAGGUGUAUAAGUAAGUAAAAUUAAACAAGUAAAAAUAAAUAAUAACAGGAAGUAAGACUGUAUAAGUAAGGAAUCAUAAAUAAAUGUGUAAAAGUAAACUAAAGUAAAUCAAUAAUAACCAAGUACAAACAAAAGCAAUAAUCGAUAAGUACUAGCACAAUAAUAACAAAGUAAAAAUGUAUAAGUAAGAGGAAAUAAACAUGUAAAAGUACUGUUAAAAGUAGAAAUUAGCAAUAACAGUAAAAUGACAAAUAAAUAACAGUAGGAAACAGUGUAUGAGUAAGGAAUGAUAAAUAUGUAAAAGUACUGUUAGAAAUGAAUAACAGUAAGUAUAAAAAGGUAUAAUGUAUGUAAAAGUACUGUUAAAAGUAAAAAUAAAUAAGUAAAAUACAUAAGUAGAUGUAAACAAGUAAAAAUAACAGUAAGUAAAAAAAAAAAAAAAA